CCACGCCCUAAACUAUGUAUACUGGUUGUUGCUAUGCUAGUCAUGGCAGUAAUCCACCUAACGGAUUAAGUAUACCGCCUGGGGAGUACGGUCGCAAGAUUAAAACUCAAAGGAAUAGACGGGGACCCGCACAAGCGGUGGAGCAUGUGGUUUAAUUCGAAGAUACGCGAAGAACCUUACCCGGACUUGAUAUCUAACAAAUCAUCUAGAGAUAGAAGAG
rnacentral:rRNA from 1 species